UGAAAAGGCUCAAAGGAUUACGCCGUCAACUGACAACAGAUGCAUUUACAAGCCACUAAAUCCACAGCUAACACUGUUAACACAAUUUAUUUCAGCUUUGAAUUCAAUAAGCCGGUUUAAAAGAUAAAGUUUCUCCUGAGAUGCCAAUCGCAGUUCUUCAGUAUGUGUGUCUGAUUCUGUGUUAUGUUCCCCAUUCUGUGCAAUGAAUCAUGUACAGUAAUUGUUGUCCUUUUUCCUGUCUGUUUUACAGUGUGCUCUCCGUGUGCUGCUCUCAGUCUUCAGAUUUUGGCAUCAGUGGCAGGUGCUCAGUGCGGCAUGACAUGGAGAUAAGCUGUGCUGAAAUGUCCCUGUGGAACACAAAGGCAGUUGGAGGCUUUAAAUAAAAUGAUGGCCUGAUUAUGAGAGAGAGGGAGAGAGAAUGAAAAAAGGAAUGAUGGAGAGAAUGAAGCACUGCCAGUCUGGACCAAAGAUAAAGCACAUAUUUGGGGUGAUUGAUAUUACUACUUUUGAGUUGCAAGUGUGAGACAAAAUACAGUUUUUUUGUGGACAUCCCAAGAAGAAAUGAGAGAACAUUUCCUUUGAAAUGAAGGACAGAUGCAUGCAGAACUGAGAAGACGAUGG
ensembl:lncRNA